rnacentral:rRNA from 1 species
AACGAACGCUGGCGGCAUGCCUAACACAUGCAAGUCGAACGAGAUCUUCGGGUCUAGUGGCGCACGGGUGCGUAACGCGUGGGAAUCUGCCCUCAGGUUCGGAAUAACCAUUGGAAACGAUGGCUAAUACCGGAUGAUGACGUUAAGUCCAAAGAUUUAUCGCCUGAGGAUGAGCCCGCGUAGGAUUAGCUAGUUGGUGUGGUAAAGGCGCACCAAGGCGACGAUCCUUAGCUGGUCUGAGAGGAUGAUCAGCCACACUGGGACUGAGACACGGCCCAGACUCCUACGGGAGGCAGCAGUGGGGAAUAUUGGACAAUGGGCGAAAGCCUGAUUCAGCAAUGCCGCGUGAGUGAUGAAGGCCUUAGGGUUGUAAAGCUCUUUUACCCGGGAUGAUAAUGACAGUACCGGGAGAAUAAGCUCCGGCUAACUCCGUG